AGACUCCUACGGGAGGCAGCAGUGGGGAAUAUUGCACAAUGGGCGCAAGCCUGAUGCAGCCAUGCCGCGUGUAUGAAGAAGGCCUUCGGGUUGUAAAGUACUUUCAGUAGGGAGGAAGGUGGUUAAGCUAAUACCUUAAUCAUUUGACGUUACCUACAGAAGAAGCACCGGCUAACUCCGUGCCAGCAGCCGCGGUAAUACGGAGGGUGCAAGCGUUAAUCGGAAUUACUGGGCGUAAAGCGCAUGCAGGUGGUU
rnacentral:rRNA from 1 species